rnacentral:rRNA from 1 species
AUUGAACGCUGGCGGCGGGCCUAACACAUGCAAGUCGAACGAGUGGCGGACGGGUGAGUAAUGUCUGGGAAACUGCCCGAUGGAGGGGGAUAACUACUGGAAACGGUAGCUAAUACCGCAUACCAUCGGAUGUGCCCAGAUGGGAUUAGCUAGUAGGUGGGGUAACGGCUCACCUAGGCGACGAUCCCUAGCUGGUCUGAGAGGAUGACCGGCCACACUGGAACUGAGACACGGUCCAGACUCCUACGGGAGGCAGCAGUGGGGAAUAUUGCACAAUGGGCGAAAGCCUGAUGCAGCCAUGCCGCGUGUAUGAAGAAGGCCUUCGGGUUGUAAAGUACUUUCAGCGAGGAGGCGUUACUCGCAGAGGAAGCACCGGCUAACUCCGUGCCAGCAGCCGCGGUAAUUC